rnacentral:rRNA from 1 species
GACGAACGCUGGCGGCGUGCUUAACACAUGCAAGUCGAACGGUAAGGCCCUUCGGGGUACACGAGUGGCGAACGGGUGAGUAACGCGUGAGUAACCUACCCUUGACUCUGGGAUAACAGAUGGAAACGUCUGCUAAUACCGGAUACUCAGCCUUGUGGGCAUCCGCAGGGUUGGAAAGCUCCGGCGGUCAAGGAUGGACUCGCGUCCUAUCAGCUAGUUGGUGGGGUAACGGCCUACCAAGGCGACGACGGGUAGCCGGCCUGAGAGGGCGACCGGCCACAUUGGGACUGAGAUACGGCCCAGACUCCUACGGGAGGCAGCAGUGGGGAAUAUUGCACAAUGGGCGAAAGCCUGAUGCAGCAACGCCGCGUGCGGGAUGACGGCCUUCGGGUUGUAAACCGCUUUCAGCAGGGACGAAGCGCAAGUGACGGUACCUGCAGAAGAAGCACCGGCUAACUACGUGCCAGCCGCCGCAGUAACAC